rnacentral:rRNA from 1 species
AUUGAACGCUGGCGGCAGGCCUAACACAUGCAAGUCGAACGAGUGGCGGACGGGUGAGUAAUGUCUGGGAAACUGCCUGAUGGUGGGGGAUAACUACUGGAAACGGUAGCUAAUACCGCAUACCAUCAGAUGUGCCCAGUUGGGAUUAGCUUGUUGGUGGGGUAACGGCUCACCAAGGCAACGCUCCCUAGCUGGUCUGCGAGGAUGACCAGCCACACUGAAACGGAGACGCGGUCCAGACUCAUACGGGAGGCAGCAGUGGGGAAUAUUGCACAAUGGGCGCAAGCCGGAUGCAGCCGUGCCGGGUGUAUGAAGAAGGCCUUCAGGUUGUGAAGUACUUUCAGCGGGGAGGCGUUACCCGCGGAAGAGGCACCGGCUAACUCCGUGCCAGCGGCCGCGGUAAUAC